rnacentral:rRNA from 1 species
UACGGGGGGGGUAAGCGUUGUUCGGAAUUACUGGGCGUAAAGGGCUCGUAGGCGGCCAACUAAGUCAGACGUGAAAUCCCCAGGCUUAACCUGGGAACUGCAUCCGAUACUGGAUGGCUUGAAUCCGGGAGAGGGAUGCAGAAUUCCAGGUGUAGCGGUGAAAUGCGUAGAUAUCUGGAGGAAUACCGGUGGCGAAGGCGGCAUCCUGGACCGGCAUUGACGCUGAUGAGCGAAAGCUAGGGGAGCAAACGGG